AUACGGAGGGUGCAAGCGUUACUCGGAAUCACUGGGCGUAAAGCGCGCGCAGGCGGGCUGAUAAGUUGGAUGUGAAAGCCUACGGCUCAACCGUAGAACUGCAUCCAAAACUGUCAGCAUAGAGUCUGGGAGGGGAAGAUGGAAUUAGUUGUGUAGGGGUAAAAUCCGUAGAGAUAACUAGGAAUACCAAAAGCGAAGGCAAUCUUCUGGAACACUACUGACGCUGAGGCGCGAAAGCGUGGGGAGCAAACAGGAUUAGAAACCCUAGUAGUCC
rnacentral:rRNA from 1 species